rnacentral:rRNA from 1 species
AUACGGGAGGCAGCAGUGAGGAAUAUUGGGCAAUGCCCGCAAGGGUGACCCAGCAACGCCGCGUGGAGGAUGAAAGUCGUAAGAUUGUAAACUCCUGUGAGAGGGGACGAAUAACUCCGGUAACACCGGAGCUUGACUGUACCCUCAGAGGAAGCCCCGGCUAACUACGUGCCAGCAGCCGCGGUAAUACGUAGGGGGCAAGCGUUGUCCGGAUUUACUGGGUGUAAAGGGCGCGCAGGCGGAUUGAUAAGUCAGAGGUGAAAUCCUGCAGCUCAACUGCAGAACUGCCUUUGAUACUGUUAAUCUUGAGUGCGGAAGAGAGAGACGGAAUUCCAGGUGUAGUGGUGAAAUACGUAGAUAUCUGGAAGAACACCAGUUGCGAAGGCGGUCUCUUGGUCCGUUACUGACGCUCAGGCGCGAAAGCGUGGGUAGCAAACAGGAUUAGAUACCCGGGUAGUCCC